ensembl:snRNA U6 U6 spliceosomal RNA
GUGCUGGCUUCAGCAGCAUGGAUACUAAAAUUGAAAGGAUACAGAGCAGAUUAGCAUGUCCCUUGCCCAAGGAUGAUAUGCAAAUUUUAAAAUGUUCUAUAUUAAA